rnacentral:rRNA from 1 species
AUGCACGCCGUCGUCCUCCGGUGCGAAGCCCUCGAGGAGCCCGACGUCCAGGCCACCAGCUGGAUCGCCCAGGUCCGCGACCUCGCCUACGACAUCGAGGAAUGGGUCGACCUCUUCGCCCACCGCGCCGACGCCGGCACCAACAACGCCGACGCCGGCACCUCCCACCGGUUCUCCCGCUGGAUCCGCCGGCUCACCACCAUCCCCGACCGCCACAUCUUCGCCACCGAGCUGAAGGUGCUCCGAGCGUGCGUCGUCGAGGUGAGCAAGCUGCGGAAGCGCUACAGUCUCGACCCGCAGAUGUUGUCUCAUCACGCGCCCGCCGUCGACCCCCGGCUCUUCGCGCUCUACGCCGACAGUGCCGGCCUGCGGCAUGGACGGGCCGCGGGACGAGGUGGCGGGGAUGGUGACCAGAGCGGGCUCGGACGGGCCGUGGGACGAGGUGGCGGGGAUGGCUGUCAAGGUCCAUUGUGCCUUGAUGGUCUCUACAAAUUGCUGCUUUUGAGGUACUUGAACCUCAAGGGGACAUAUGUUAGCGAGCUCCCAGAACAGAUUGGACAGCUAAGAUGCCUGGAUACACUGGACGUGAGAUCCACAAAGGUGAAAGAUCUACCUCCUAGAAUUGUCAAGCUGGAAAAGUCAAUGCAUUUACUCGCCGGGAACGCCAAGUUGCCGAGUGGGGUAACCAAGAUGAAUUCAUUGUUGAUACUUUUGUGCAGCAAUAUUGGGAAGAGCGCUGAGGCGAACAUCAUUCAAGAGCUCAGUGAAAUGGUUGAAGUGCUUGAGCUAAAGUUUGAAGAAGGCCUUUCAGAGGAGUCGAGUGGUGUGUCAUCUGUCUGGCCUGAAGCAUAUGAUCGUCGAGUUUUCACAGCAUUAUGUGGAUGGGCGUUCCGCAGCGUGUUCAGAAUAAUACUUUGCAAGGGACAGCAGCUCGACGUCGAUCAGCAGCAGCAGGUCAUUGUUCUGCUGGCACUCACUUCACCUGAACGGCUGGACCAGAUGAUAGUGGAUAACUGGAUAUACGCAGUGCAGUAUAUUGCUAUAAGGUCGCUAGCACAUGUGAAUUGUUCUCGUCAAGAGCAUGCUUGUGACAUCAUUACUAUAUGUGAUGCAGGGCAAAAGGAUGUUGUCAGAAGGCUUGCAGCUAAGUGUUCAAGUACAAUCUCUAGCCAAGUUCCCUUUGUUGUUGUGUUGUAUUUUGAGGAAAGGUGGUCGAGCAGCUCGUGA